UACGUAGGGAGCAAGCGUUGUCCGGAAUCAUUGGGCGUAAAGAGCGCGUAGGCGGCCCUGUAAGUCCGUUCUGAAAGUCAAAGGCUCAACCUUUGAAAGCGGAUGGAUACUGCAUCGCUGGAGUGCGGCAGAGGGGGAUGGAAUUCCGCGUGUAGCAGUGAAAUGCGUAGAUAUCAGGAGGAACACCGGUGGCGAAGGCGGGUCUCUGGGCCGAUACUGACGCUGAGGAGCGAAAGCGUGGGGAGCGAACAGG
rnacentral:rRNA from 1 species